rnacentral:rRNA from 1 species
AUUGAACGCUGGCGGAAUGCUUUACACAUGCAAGUCGAACGGCAGCACGGGAGCUUGCUCCUGGUGGCGAGUGGCGAACGGGUGAGUAAUAUAUCGGAACGUAUCCAAUAAUGGGGGAUAACUAAUCGAAAGGUUGGCUAAUACCGCAUACGCCCUGAGGGGGAAAGCUGGGGAUCUUCGGACCAAGCGUUGACGGAGCGGCCGAUAUCUGAUUAGCUAGUUGGUGAGGUAAAGGCUCACCAAGGCGACGAUCAGUAGCUGGUCUGAGAGGACGACCAGCCACACUGGAACUGAGACACGGUCCAGACUCCUACGGGAGGCAGCAGUGGGGAAUUUUGGACAAUGGGCGCGAGCCUGAUCCAGCCAUUCCGCGUGAGUGAAGAAGGCCUUCGGGUUGUAAAGCUCUUUCGCAAGGGAAGAAACGAUUUAGGUAAAUAAUCUAAGUUAAUGACGGUACCUUGAUAAGAAGCACCGGCUAACUACGUGCCAGCAGCCGCGG